AGUCAACUGACGAGUUUCAAACAGGACGGAACGCCCGUCUUGGAU
rnacentral:hammerhead_ribozyme from 1 species